rnacentral:rRNA from 1 species
AUUGAACGCUGGCGGCAGGCUUAACACAUGCAAGUCGAACAGGUGUAGCAAUACAUCAGUGGCAGACGGGUGAGUAACACGUGGGAACCUUCCUAGGGGUACGGAACAACUCAGGGAAACUUGAGCUAAUACCGUAUACGUCCGUGAGGAGAAAGAUUUAUCGCCCUUAGACGGGCCCGCGUCGGAUUAGCUAGUUGGUGGGGUAACGGCCUACCAAGUCGACGAUCCGUAGCUGAUCUUAGAGGAUGAUCAGCCACACUGGGACUGAGACACGGCCCAGACUCCUGCGGGAGGCAGCAGUGGGGAAUCUUGGACAAUGGGCGCAAGCCUGAUCCAGCCAUGCCGCGUGAGUGAAGAAGGUCUUCGGAUUGUAAAGCUCUUUUGCCAGGGACGAUAAUGACGGUACCUGGAGAAUAAGCCCCGGCAAACUUCGUGCCAGCCGCCGCCGUAA